GCUUUCUUAGUAUAUAAGUACGGCUAAUUUCCAGUUAGUAAGUUUCAUCAGAAAGAAGGCA
rnacentral:tRNA from 1 species